rnacentral:lncRNA from 1 species
UGGUAUUUGUUUGGUUUUGAUUCUGUAGGUCCAAGCACACCUGGAAAGUCCUGCAAGACCUCAACUACAGCGAUCCCCAAAACAGCAAGUAAAACCCUUCAUGACCCUUGACCACCAAAUCGUCCACCAAACUCUCAAACAGUCACACCCUCCAGGGCCAAGCUGUGUGCUUCUGCCACAACAUGGACUUAGGAGUCCGGACAGUGAUGCUGGCCUCCCAGGAAACCCACUCACCAAGUCACUAGCUCUUGGGAAAGAAGAUGGCAGUGAGGAAUGGCAUUUAUCUGGAAAUAUUUUGGAUGUCUAUAGUGGCGAGCCCGGGAUUUCACCAGUUAAUAUGGGGCUUACAAGUGCUUCCUGUCCAAGUGGUUUACCAAUGAAAAGAGAAAUUAC